rnacentral:lncRNA from 1 species
AGACACACCUGUUCCUGGUCAUGAGCUGGUGGCCAGGGGCUUGCUCUAUCACUACGUGCAGGAGCAGGGCGGCCUGGCUGAGGACGAGGCCAGGGCCCUGUUCGGCCAGGCGCUGGCCGCCGUGAGCUACUGCCAUGGCCAGCACGUGGCGCACCGGGACCUCAAGCUGGACAACCUGCUGCUGGACGAGCACAUGAACAUCAAGCUGGCGGACUUCGGGCUGAGCCUGCGGCUGGAGCAGGGCACGCUGGUAAGGGACGCCUGCGGGACCCCCGAGUACUGUGCACCAGAGUUUUCCUCGAGGAGGACUACGAUGCAUUAAAGGCCAACGUGUGGAGUCUGGGGGUGGUGCUGUUUGCCAUGCUGGAGGCCACGCUGCCCUUCGGCGGCAAAGACUUGGAAGAGCUGCAGGACCGGGUGCUGUGCGGCUCCUACGUGGUGCCACGUGGCAUCAGCCCGGCCCUGCAGGAGCUGCUGGCGUGGCUGCUCACCGUUGACGCCUCGGGGAGGCCCAGUGCGGAGGACGCCAGCACCCACUCGUGGUUCAGCCUCAGCCGAGAAGCCGCCCAGGAGCACGAGGAGGGCGCGGUCACCCCGCUGCAGCCCCUGGGCGUUCCCCGGGACCUGGAGGCCAGGGAGUACCUGGCGGGCCUCGGCCUGCUGCCAGGCACAGGGACCGAGGGGACUCCAGGCCCUCAGCCCCAGGACCCUGCGUCCCUGCCCAAGUCCUCGCAGAACAGCAAGUUCCCCCCCAUAGAGGACGACGGCUUGGCUCUGGUGUCCUGUGACAGCAUGGCCGUCAACGUUUCCUCCGCACAAAGCGACUCCUCCGAGGCCCCCAGCCAGCCACAGCAGGAGAGGAGCCCUGCUCCCAGUGCCGCCCCCGACUCCUCCAAGCCCUCCAGUGAGUCUUGCCCACUCCCCACAUCCCCUGCCACUUUGGGGCCUCCAGGAGCUGAGCCCAAGGCCCCCGAGGUGACCCCACUCUUGACUCUCUCCUACCAGGCCAGCCACAGCAGGAAAGGAGCCCUGCUCCCAGCGCAGCCCCCCAGCCAGCCUCCAAGGCGUCGCCCUCCAGCCCCAAUGCCAGGAGCCGUGUGGACCUCGCAGAGCCAGAAGCCGCCGCAGCUGCCCGUGAGCCUGAGGGGGCUGGGACCGCAGCCACCGCUGACACCACAGACUCCACAGCCAGCGCCCAGGACAAGAGGCAGGGCCGGCACGGGGUCGGCAGGAGGAUCCUCCGGUUCCUGCCGAGGGCGUGCUGCAUCCUGCCGUCCUGAGGGAGCAGCCCUGGUCACUGCUGCCGCAGAGUGGCCCCCAAGUAGCCUCGCUCCGCCCCCGUCACCAGGAGCAAUGCGCAGGCUGAGCUGACUGAACGUUUUUCUUUUCUUGAACAUUUGCAAAUGCUUCUCAUGAAUAAACUUCACCUUUGUGCGUGCCUUUGGUCCCGU